rnacentral:lncRNA from 1 species
UAACAUCAAACGACAAUAAAAUGUAAAUAAAAGAAAUGAUUCACCCAAUCUUGUGUGGGACACAUCAUAUUUCAUUUGAUAAAGAUGAGUAAUAGACAAAUACAAAAAUUUUAGGACACUUUUUGGAUCCGAUGAAGGUAUGAGAUCACAGAUCUUCCAUAGAUGUGUGUUUACAUGUUUUUUAGAGAGAGGGAGAGGGAGAACUAGAGAGCCCCCUUUUUAGAAAGUCCUCCCUUCUAUUUAUAAGAGGUAUCUAUAGAAAAUCCUAAAAAAAGUACAAUUAGAGAGAAUUC